rnacentral:ncRNA from 2 species
GAGCUCCGCUAGGGGUGUUGGCCUGGGUUGUCUGCAACCCGGUCCGACUGAGAAAGUCCCUUUGAACCUGAUUGAGGUAAUCCUCGCGCAGGGAAGCAUUGAACAGGAUCU